rnacentral:tRNA from 3 species
CGCGGAGUGGAGCAGGGGUAGCUCGUCGGGCUCAUAACCCGAAGGUCGAGGGUUCGAAUCCUUCCUCCGCAACCA